rnacentral:sRNA from 1 species
AGCAAUGUCAAAGAUGGUAGCCUUCUAA